GACAGAGGGGGCAAGCGUUGCUCGGAAUCACUGGGCGUAAAGGGCGCGUAGGCGGGAGGGCAAGUCGGUCGUGAAAUCCUUCGGCUCAACCGAAGAACGUCGGCCGAAACUGCUUUUCUUGAGGGAUGCAGAGGAGACUGGAAUUCCCGGUGUAGCGGUGAAAUGUGUAGAGAUCGGGAGGAACACCGGUGGCGAAGGCGGGUCUCUGGGCAUCUCCUGACGCUGGGGCGCGAAAGCGUGGGGAGCAAACGGG
rnacentral:rRNA from 1 species